UGUGUGUGUGUGUGUGUGUGUGUGUGUGUGUGUGUGUGUGUGUGUGUGUGUGUGUGUGGUCACAGCUCUAUCUGGUGGUGUUCAGUGGUAAUUACAGCUACACCAGAGUCUCAGAGUUCUGAGUGAAUUGUGGGCGGAGUUAUAAAGAGCACUCAUCACAGUUGGUUUUGUAACUUUAUCUUGUUUUAUAUUCUGCUUUUUGUUUGUUUUUGUUGUUUUCCUCAAAUUGUUAAAUUUAUUUAUUUAUCUAUUUAUUUAUUUGUUUAUAUUUAUUUAUUUAUUUAUUUAACUCUAAGUCCACUUGUUUUGCUCACUUCAUUAAACACUAAACACCAUUGUAGUGGACAUUUUAAGUAUAAUGAGUGUUUAUAUGUAAAUUCGUAGUCAGACGAUGGAGAGAGAACAGGAGGCUCAUGUUGCUGCAUAAAUGUUCCUGCCAUAAACAUUCUUGCCAUAAACGUUCCAGCAUAAACGUUCCAUGUGUUAAAAGGAUGGGAACUUUAGGCGAGUGUGUAUGCAUGUGCUUGAUAAGAUCUGACCUUCCUAAGGUGACUGAGAGGACACAUAAACACAAAUGCACACACACACACACACACACACACACACACACACACACACACACACAUACCAACACACACACACCAGGCCACACAAGCACACACCUAGAGUACAAAUUGGAGAGCUGAAUCACGACUUUGCCUCUUCACUCUGUAGACUCAGCACUCUACACUGUAUGGAAGAUGCCUUUAGCUGCAGCAAAAUAAAAUACCAUCUUUACUUCUUUGCUUUUACCACCAACUCGGAGUCUGAGUGUGUUUUUUAUAUGUAGAUCAAAACUACAUGUAACACAAUUUUGGAGGUCAGACCGAGAUAUCAUUCGUCUGUGUGCCAGUCUCGAGGUCGACCCCUUACCUGUCUGGUCCGGACCAACUCGAAGACGGUUACUUCGUCAAACCACACAAUUGACUACUAGUGGUUAAAGAUCUGGACAAUCACGAGACUGAACCAGCGACUGGAUUCUGAGCUAAGUGUGUUUUAAAUCUUUCGUAGACCCAGACCCGGAUGGCCGCCCGCUCAGACCGCCACCUCAGGCACCUCGCAGACGAACACUAACCAACCACCACCUCGUUACACUGCUGCGGCUUCUACACCCGACCGACAGACGGUUUACUCUCCAUCUGAUAUUAUACAAACAGACGUGCACAAAGGAAUGCAGCUCUGAGUAAAAAUGGAUAUGACAAAAAUCUCCAGAUAUCUCACACGAUUGACACACAGCGAUGCACACGGCGGCCUCGAACGCCCCGAUAACAUGGCUGCAGCUGCUGAUCUCACACGUACAGGCAAAUCUGAGGAACAGAUUCAUCAAUGGAUUAAGAGAGGACAUUGCAAGAAAAGUCAUGCAAACUUACAUUACCUGGGAUACUGGAACAUUGUCUCUGAUUGAACAGCAUGCUAUCCAUGCAGAAAAGCUGCUAAAGACAAAAAGACAAAAAGGAAAGGACAAAAGGGUAGAAAUGAGACACCGUCUCCUCAUGGUUCAGUUGUCUGAGGCCCAAGGAGAUUCUACCAGAGGGAGGGGCUGUGGAAAAGGUAGAGGACGGAACAGAACUGGAUUUCAGUAUGGAUGUUUUUUAUGCAGAAGUUCAGAUCACUGGACACGGGAUUGCCCUAGAAAAUAUCAGGGGAAGCCAAGUAUGGAGAGGCAUGAGGUCUGGACGGGUCUGGGGCAGGGGGGCACCCAGGGAUGGAGAAAAGCCCUGGAGCUGCGAGCAUCACUUUGAGCACAGAGACCUGAGAGCCCUGCGUUACACAUCCAGUGAAAGGUUAAUGUGCAACAGUCAGGCUGUGACAUCAUCAUAACAACACUACAGACUACUUUAUGCUAAUUAGCUGCAUAGCACUGAGGGUAGAUUUGUUAAUAACGGUGUUUAUAGCAUGUUGCAGCAGAAAUGUGUGGCAGUGGAUUCUGACGUAAGAAGAUCAGAACCUUCAGAAGUCCAUGUGUGUGUGAGACGAGUCAUCAAGAAGAGGAAGAAAGAUGAUGAUACUCUGAUGAUUGACAGGUUUGUGUUAUGGACAGACAUACAGACAGAAUAAUAUAAAACACACCGUUAUUUACAUCCAGUUUAUUAAACCAAACACCAGGAUUCCAUUUACAAGGCAACUGCAGAACUCUGUGUGUGUGUGUGUGUGUGUGUGUGUGUGUGUGUGUGUGUGUGUGUGUGUGUGUGUGUGUGUGUGUGUGUGUGUGUGUGUUUGUGUGUGUG